AUAAGUUGUUGCUGGUGCUGCAGUGCCUGGAUAAGGUGAAGCUAUAAAAUGAUAAAGAAAGUUUUACUUCAUGGGAGACAGCUUUGUUUGCACCCAAGUGCAAAAGAGAAAUCUCUGAAGCUCGAGAGCAUAGAAGAGAAAUGUAGUACCAAACACAGCCGAACACGAGGAGAAACCAAGGAAGACGAACAAAACAAGGCCAAUAACUAAGGUAAUAGAGAAGAAAUGGAAACAAAAAGAUCGAGAAGAAUAUGAAAAUGAAAGUAAGAGGAGCAUAACAGGAAAACAAGUACCCGGAAUGUGAUGUAUCAGAUAAAGAAGAGUAAGUUUAUAGCUUAUAGUAUAUAAAGCUCCUUAUGAUUCUCGCACUGUUAUGCAUAAAAAAUUGUGUGUUGACAGUGACUGCCUAAGAUUACAGAUUUUUAUUCAAGAAAUGAUGCAUGAGGUAUUGA